CCUGCGGCAGCCUACACAUGCAAGUCGAACGAGACCUUCGGGUCUAGUGGCGCACGGGUGCGUAACGCGUGGGAACCUGCCUUUAGGUUCGGAAUAACUCUCCGAAAGGGGUGCUAAUACCGAAUAAUGUCUUCGGACCAAAGAUUUAUCGCCUUUAGAUGGGCCCGCGUUGGAUUAGCUAGUUGGUGGGGUAAAGGCCUACCAAGGCGACGAUCCAUAGCUGGUCUGAGAGGAUGAUCAGCCACACUGGGACUGAGACACGGCCCAGACUCCUACGGGAGGCAGCAGUGGGGAAUAUUGGACAAUGGGCGAAAGCCUGAUCCAGCAAUGCCGCGUGAGUGAUGAAGGCCUUAGGGUUGUAAAGCUCUUUUACCAGGGAUGAUAAUGACAGUACCUGGAGAAUAAGCUCCGGCUAACUCCGUGCCAGCAGCCGCGGUAAU
rnacentral:rRNA from 1 species